UUUAGGUUACUUUAUCUUCUUCCUCUUAUUCAACUUCAUCUUCAUUAAACAUCGUCAAAAUUCCAGAAAAAAAUUCUAGAAAAACAUCAACAACACUAUAAUAUUUAUAAAAUUCCAAACAAAAAAUAACUUCAACAAGACUAUAUUAUUUUUUGGUAUAAUAAUCAAUCAAAGAAGUGCCCAGAAAAGGAUUCAUCUCUAACCCCUAUCUGCUUAUCAAAAAAAAUCUCAAACCCCUAGCCUCAGAAAAAAUACUCAUUCAUAUGAGACCCUAUUAAAGUUAUCAGUACAGUAGCUACACAGAGAACGAAGGUCCACAUGGUGUGCACAUUCAAAUGUGUUGUUGUUUCAUAGAUCGAAGUGAACGAAAGAUGAAAGAGAGGGAGCGACCAAGGUGAAGGGAGGAGUGGUGUUCAGUGACGACGGAGGCCGAUAUCGUAACGGUGGAGUCGUGGUUGCUCCGGGAACGAUAGUCGUUUAUCGACGAUGAUGGAUCUGGUACCUGCGGUGAUUAUCGAAGGCCUAACCGUACAACUUCCGAAAAUAAGGUUUUGGAAAUUGUGGGAGGGAUAACAAGAAGACAAGGAAAAGGGAAAAUUGUUUCCUGAGAAAGUGAUUGAAAAAGGGAAAGGCGAUUCAUUUGUUAGGGAAAGUUGCUGGAAAAGAGAAAUGUGAAAUUGGAUCUGUAUAGCUUUUUAGGCGAGAUUGAAUCUUAUUUGUUUGGACUUAAAUGUGUUGAGUUACUAGUUAGAAGCCUGAAAACGAACUAUGCCAUAGAAAUGUAACUAUGGUCAAAAUAAUUAUUAUAGUAUUGUUGAAGUUCUCGUGGAAGAUGAAGAUGAAUAAAAGGAGGAAGAAGAAGAAACCUUAAAAUAA